rnacentral:rRNA from 1 species
UACGUAGGGGGCAAGCGUUGUCCGGAUUUAUUGGGCGUAAAGAGCGUGUAGGCGGCCAUUCAGGUCAGCUGUGAAAACUCGAGGCUCAACCUCGAGACGUCGGUUGAAACCGUAUGGCUAGAGUCCGGAAGAGGAGAGUGGAAUUCCCGGUGUAGCGGUGAAACGCGCAGAUAUCGGGAAGAACACCCGUGGCGAAGGCGGCUCUCUGGGACGGUACUGACGCUGAGACGCGAAAGCGUGGGGAGCGAACAGG